rnacentral:rRNA from 1 species
AAGAGCUCAGAUUUGAAAUCGUGUUUCGGCACGAGUUGUAGAGUGUAGGCGGGAGUCUCUGUGGAGCGCGGUGUCCAAGUCCCUUGGAACAGGGUGCCUGAGAGGGUGAGAGCCCCGUAGGGUGCUGCGCGAAGCUUUUGAGGCCCUGCUGACGAGUCGAGUUGUUUGGGAAUGCAGCUCCAAGCGGGUGGUAAAUUCCAUCUAAGGCUAAAUAUUGGCGAGAGACCGAUAGCGAACAAGUACUGUGAAGGAAAGAUGAAAAGCACUUUGAAAAGAGAGUGAAACAGCACGUGAAAUUGUUGAAAGGGAAGGGUAUUGGGCUCGACAUGGGGGGUGCGCACCGCUGUCUCUUGUAGGCGGCGCUCUGGGCGCCCUCUGGGCCAGCAUCGGUUCCUGCUGCGGGAGAAGGGGCUCCGGAAAGUGGCUCUUCGGAGUGUUAUAGCCGGGGCCAGAUGCCGCGUGUGGGGACCGAGGACUGCGGCUUCUGUCUCGGAUGCUGGCAUAANGGCGCAAUACCGCCCGUCUUGAAACACGGACC